AUUGAACGCUGGCGGCAGGCUUAACACAUGCAAGUCGAGCGGUAACAGAGAGAAGCUUGCUUCUCUGCUGACGAGCGGCGGACGGGUGAGUAAUGCCUAGGAAUCUGCCUAGUAGUGGGGGAUAACUUGCUGAAAGGUAAGCUAAUACCGCAUACGUCCUACGGGAGAAAGGAGGGGACCUUCGGGCCUUUCGCUAUUAGAUGAGCCUAGGUCGGAUUAGUUAGUUGGUGAGGUAAUGGCUCACCAAGACCGCGAUCCGUAACCUGGUCUGAGAGGAUGAUCAGUCACACUGGAACUGAGACACGGUCCAGACUCCUACGGGAGGCAGCAGUGGGGAAUAUUGGACAAUGGGGGGAACCCUGAUCCAGCCAUGCCGCGUGUGUGAAGAAGGUCUUAGGAUUGUAAAGCACUUUAAGUUGGGAGGAAGAGCAGUUAACUAAUAUUUGACUGUUUUGACGUUACCGACAGAAUAAGCACCGGCUAACUUCGUGCCAGCAGCCGCAGUAA
rnacentral:rRNA from 1 species